GGCCUACCAUGGUGGUAACGGGUAACGGGGUGUUAGGGCACGACACCGGAGAGGGAGCCUGAGAAACGGCUACCACAUCCAAGGAUGGCAGCAGGCGCGCAAAUUACCCAAUCCCGACACGGGGAGGUAGUGACAAUAAAUAACAAUACGGGGUUCUUUAGGAUCUCGUAAUUGGAAUGAGUACAAUUUAAAUCUCUUAACGAGGAACAAUUGGAGGGCAAGUCUGGUGCCAGCAGCCGCGGUAAUUCCAGCUCCAAUAGCGUAUAUUAAAGUUGUUGCAGUUAAAAAGCUCGUAGUUGAAUUUCGGGGUUAGUAGGUUGGUCAUGCCUCCGGUAUGUACUGAUCUCACUGAUUCCUCCUUCCUUAUGAACCGUAAUGCCAUUAAUUUGGUGUUGCGGGGAAUUUGGACUGUUACUUUGAAAAAAUUAGAGUGUUUAAAGCAGGCUAACGCUUGAAUACAUUAGCAUGGAAUAAUGAAAUAGGACGUUCGAUCUUAUUUUGUUGGUUUCUAGGAUUGACGUAAUGAUUGAUAGGGAUAGUUGGGGGCAUUAGUAUUCAAUUGUCAGAGGUGAAAUUCUUGGAUUUAUUGAAGACUAACUACUGCGAAAGCAUUUGCCAAGGAUGUUUUCAUUAAUCAAGAACGAAAGUUAGGGGAUCGAAGACGAUCAGAUACCGUCGUAGUCUUAACCAUAAACUAUGCCGACUAGGGAUCGGAUGAUGUUAAUUUUUUAAUGACUCAUUCGGCGCCUUACGGGAAACCAAAGUGUUUGGGUUC
rnacentral:rRNA from 1 species